CCUACGGGAUGCAGCAGUGGGGAAUAUUGGACAAUGGGCGAAAGCCUGAUCCAGCCAUGCCGCGUGUGUGAAGAAGGCCUUCGGGUUGUAAAGCACUUUCAGUGGGGAAGAAAGCCUUGGGGCUAAUACCCUCGAGGAAGGACAUCACCCACAGAAGAAGCACCGGCUAACUCCGUGCCAGCAGCCGCGGUAAUACGGAGGGUGCGAGCGUUAAUCGGAAUUACUGGGCGUAAAGCGCGCGUAGGCGGUCUGAUAAGCCGGUUGUGAAAGCCCCGGGCUCAACCUGGGAACGGCAUCCGGAACUGUCAGGCUAGAGUGCAGGAGAGGAAGGUAGAAUUCCCGGUGUAGCGGUGAAAUGCGUAGAGAUCGGGAGGAAUACCAGUGGCGAAGGCGGCCUUCUGGACUGACACUGACGCUGAGGUGCGAAAGCGUGGGUAGCAAACAGGAUUAGAGACCCUAGUAGUC
rnacentral:rRNA from 1 species